rnacentral:snRNA from 1 species
AUAUGUAUCUGGCAGGGGACAUUCUUUGAUCACAAAGGUGCUUUUUCCAGGGUCCAUCAUACUCCACAUAUGUUGACCCCUGUGGUUUCCCCAAGUACAAGAAAUUUGAUGCAUAAUUUAUGGUAGUUGGGGAUUGCAUUCACAUGUUCUCUUCGG